GACGAACCGUGCAAACGUUGUUCGGAAUCACUGGGCUUAAAGGGCGCGUAGGCGGACUCGCUAGUCUGCGGUGAAAGCCCCCCGGCUCAACCGGGGAGGGUCGUCGGGGACCGCACCGCUUGAGGGCGGUAGGGGCUGGUGGAAUGCCUGGUGUAGUGGUGAAAUGCGUAGAGAUCAGGCGGAACACCCGUGGCGAAGGCGGCCAGCUGGGCCGUCCCUGACGCUGAGGCGCGAAGGCGUGGGGAGCGAACGGG
rnacentral:rRNA from 1 species